CUAUGAUUCUGUGAUCCCACAUCUACAGAAAUACAAAUAUAAAGCAGAAGUGGACUCGGAAUCUCUGCAAAGCCGUGACAGAUUCAACCACUGAGGCGAUUUAUGUGGCUGCAAAGCCACAGGCAGUGCUGGAUAUCCCAUUGGAAACAGCUGCAAUAAAAGCAGUGUCCCCUAAGGCAGGUGGAGCUGCCCGGGAUGCAUCUGUCUGAAGCCUCCUGCCAGCCCACACCAAGCAGCUCCAGCAACGAGCCUCUCCAUGGCCGCUGGGAUACGAGCUGUGUUUCUCCAUCCCUCCAGGGCUCUCCAAAGCACCUGGAAAUGUUCGGACUGUUCUGCAAACACAUUUGGGAGCUAACAUGGCCACGCAGCCCCCUCCCUCACCCUGGGGCAAGGUGUGAGGAGAAAGGACUGGAAACUGUGCCGUGGCUCCUGCUGUCACAGCCCAGCCCUUCAUGGCUGCUGCCCUCCCAAAAUCACAGAGCACACCUGAAAAACACCCCCACACCAAAAGCAUCGUUUUGAUAUGAUGUAUUUAUAUUUACAUGGUACAUUUUAAAGCAAUAGCUACACGGAUCAUACAUAUUAGAAACAAUAAAAAAAGAAGUUAAGAACUAAAAUGUACAUCAUACACUUGUAUAUAUAUUUUUUACACAGAGGUAAAAAGGCUUAUAAAAAUCAAUACAACAGGGUUUUAACUUUUAGUAUAUAGAUACAAUAAUGAUGAGGCUUCAGGCACUUUAAUUUGUUAAUGUGAGCGAUAGCUUGAAAAAACAAACAUUUUUCAUGACAGAAAACAAAAUUUGGUUAAUGUUUUGUUACCACAGAUACAAAAAUAAAAUCUGAAUAAUUUCUCUCGAAUGAUUGAUGUCAGUAUUGCAAAGCUGACUGGGAGAACGCUACACACUGUUCAGCAGCAGUGUGGAAAGUAAGGAGGAAUAUUUACAAAAAACACCCAUUUCUAUCAUUGUGCCCUUACACCACUGCCUUCACAAACCAAAUAACACACGCGGCAAAAAUCUACAAGUAUUACAAAAACCCAACAGGAAAAGAGGGAGGAAGAAGGAGGGAGGAAAAACUGAAGAAAAAAAAAGAAAAAAAAAAGGGAUUUUUUUAUUAUUAUUUUUUAUUUUUAUUUCCAGACAUACAGAAAGGCUUAGAGUAUGUCUACUUCACUUAAAUAAAUAGGGGCACUUCAAGACCGGACAAAAAACUGUAAGAUCUCUUUUGUAGUGUUGUGCUUUAUAGAGAGAAGAUCUUACAGAUGUUUGUUUACAUGAAACAACUCGGAGAACAGAAAUAAAAGGAAAAGGUUGUUCCAUAAAAUUGUUUUCGAGGCUGGCUUGAUGUUUACUAGACACCAUUGAGAGAUUUGUCAACUGCUAUUAGGCACAAAAUAUUUAUAUUUCAUUCAGCAAACCCAGACACAUCACCGAGAGUGUAACACUCCAUCCCUUUUGCAUUAUCAUUCUUUUUCUUUUCCAACCAAAAGAUCCCCAGCAACUGCUACAAAUUAAGCCUACCGAACUCUAUAGUGUAUAAGCACGUUGCAUACUUAGUUCAUGGUCUAUUAAAAAGCUGUGAUUAACUCUCAGAGGAACCGUUGGGACAUUCCACCAAGAAAAAAUGGCAAGCGUUCCUUUUACAUUUAUUUGGCAAAAAAAAAAAGAAAAAAAAGAAAAAAGAAAAAAAGAAAAAAAAUCCUCUCUUUUAAGACUGAUGUCAAUGUGCAAUAGAGGGAGGGAAAGGACAUGCGCUCACUGGCAAUUUACUGCAGAAAGAAAUUAUGGCAGGAACAGCAGUGCCAGCUUUGACAAGCCAAUCCCUAGCUGCCUCAAAGUAUUCAGAUUGUACUAUGCUAGUUAGAGCUCACUGCGCUAAAUCAUUUUUUUUUUUAAUAAAAAUUAUUUGGCUAUUCCUGUAAUAUAUUAGAAAAAUACUCUUUUUUUUCCAGCUAAUUACAAGCCUUGUACACAAGACAACAUGACAUUUAAAAAAAAUUAAAGUAAUUUUAUCCCGCUGUAUGCACCUUAUGCAUCCACUUGAUAAAUCUGGGUGGUGAACUAGGGAGGGGAAAGUGAGGGAGACGCUUCGGUCUGGCUCCUGCAAAGACUCCUGUGAUUAAUCCUAUACAAAGAAUUACACAAAUGCUGGUUGCAUAUGCAUUACAUUGGACAUCUGUAAGCAUCCGGAGAAUCAGAACCGUAGGUCAGGAAAUGAAAGUGGUGGUUAACAUCCUGGCUUUUGAUUUUCAAUACCUGUUUAGACUGCUGAAUGUAGUUUCUACCGUGAACGCACGUGUUCUCGUGCUCACGUAUUAUACAGAAAAAAAUAAACAAAUACUAUUUUCCAUAUAAUCCACCACUUAAUGCAGCAUUUCCCCAGAAUUGCCAUGGAUUGCAAUAGUGCUUUUGACAUUGCAUUGUUAAUAAUUCUUUGCAUAACAACAAUUUUCCUCAUCCGGAACUGUAGUGUUUUAUACUCAAAUCAUUACAUGGCUGUCUAAAGAAAAAGUUCCCUUCUUUUGGGCAGAACUCUGAAAACAGAGUUUUAUUUUUCCAAAGUUAUUUAGGGAAAAAAGAAAACAGUAACAUGUAAAGUUUCCCUUUCAAGUAGUGGUCUGAAAUGAUUACAGGUAAGGAGAACUACCAGAUUCUCAAUGGUUAUGUGACUAUGGUAACUGAGCUUUGAUUUCUGAUCACAGAGCUUUAAGAACAGAGAAAUAAUUUAAGAUGUUUGCUGAAGGAAAUGACGAUGGACUCUAGAAGAGAAACUGCAGCUUACAUGGCUAUUUUGGCUUUGGAAAACAGAACAAAAAAAAAAACAAAACAAAAGAAAA